UAAUAACACCACCAAUAUCAUUGCCCCAAACUCUUCGCGAAUCUCUGCCUCCCUCUCACUCUGAGGAGUUACCAGCUUAAGCUCUACGGCCUCAUUCAGUGAAAAAACCGAAGAGGGCCCUAGUCCUUGUUAAAGCUUUUGCAUUGCGACUUUCGCAACCUCUUCUAAAUCAAACAGCACUGGGGUUUGAUCUAUAAGCCUCAGUGAUGGGUCGUAAGAAAAGGCGUGGGUUACAUUCUAAUAUUGAAUGCCAGCCUAGACUGCUCCCAACAUAAUGGUUGCUAUUGCACCAGUGACAUAGCUGCUAUCACAAUUUCCAGCAUUGAUAAAAAAUCUUUCUGCUGAUCCAUCCCCAUGAUAUGAUUGCCCUUCUUCUUAUGUGUAUUAGCUUUCGAUUGUGACACUUUAUAGCUCACAUUUUUCUUUUAAUUUUUUUCCUAGUUAUUUCUUAUGGGUUGAAACCCAUGUAUAUUAGGUUGUCUUUUGAUUGUUGGUAACUAUUAUGUUUCCCCUGGUCCAUAUUGUGUAACAAAAUUUGUGUAUAUGUUUUGUGAAAAUGAAUGCUGGAUGGGUGUCGUGUAAUGGGCUGCUAAGGAUUUGCGGUUUUGGUUGCUUGUUAGUGGCUUUUCAUGUUACUAGUGUUCUAAAUAUAAUGUUCAUGGAUGCCAGCAUUUCAUUUUUGUAACAGAUUUUGGCCUUCAUUUUUGGCUUGAGUUGAUUGUUAACUUGUUCUGUUCUUGGUUAUGUUGUGCGUCUAUUUUGUUGAUGUGUUUAGUUAAUCUCUUAUUCAUAUGUGUUUGUGCGUGUGUUCUCUUUUGGUUGGAAGAUUCUGUGCAAGUCCCAAAAGUUCCCGUGCAAAGUUAAUUUCCCCUUUUAGUUUGAAGAGAAUGUCUGCUUGUUUGUCUGUUUUUAGUGCUAGCAAGAUUCUAUUUGCCCCCUCCUGCACAGUUAAUCCCCACUUUCCCACCCUUGAAUUCAUUUUCUGCAUUCUUAUUUGAUUUCUGUAUCAAUUGUACACAAGCAUGGCUAGAUAUAAGCAUCGUGGUUUGAUUCAACAAGCAAUAGGGCCCUCUCGCCAUGUUAUAAUGGUUGAUUACUUGUUCAUCUGACCAUACCUCUCGCCAUGUUACACAAUUAUGAGUAUUGACUUGCUCUUAAUUGUGUAAAUAGAAAAGAAUGUCACUUUAUCUGGCUGCUGGUAGAAGUUCGUAUUAGCAAUGCGCCUAGAGUGAUAUGUUGUAUUGCUUUACUUAUUAUAGGAAAAAAGGGAAAGAUUGUAUUGUUUACUGAAAAUGUAAAAGAUAAUGACAAUGCAUUACUAAAAAAAAAGGCAAUGUAUUCAAUUAUUAUUAUUAUCCUUCCUCUCUCUCCCUCUCUCUCCCUCUCUGUGGAAAAGUGGAGCAAUGAAAUUGUGGACUGGUGUAUUCUAGAGAAACCUGGAUUUGAUGGCCAGAGAAGGGAUAGAUCAAAAUGAGGUUGUGACGGGAUUGCUGGAUGGGGAAUAAGCUUCAGAAUAGGUGCCAGAGUAUUCUUGAGAGGAUUAGGAAUUUAAAGAUUAAGUUUCUGUGAGCCAUGAGUGGUGGGUUUUGAAAGAAAAAAGUUGCCUGAACUUUUUUCAGGUGAUUGUUGUCUGGGAGUAUUGUGAGAGAGGAUGAUCUCUAGCUCAAAUAGAGUAUUGACCGCUCAGUAUGGAGAGGGGAUUUGAGGGUUUAUGUCUUUUUCUUAUUUUAUCAAGAGGUUGAUUUCUAGACCAAAACUAGGGUUGAAUUUUGAUGGGACUUCCAACUGGGAAAGUGAUGCUGAGCAGACCUAGACAGACACUCGCACAAAG